GAUGAACGCUGGCGGCGUGCCUAAUACAUGCAAGUCGAGCGAACGGACGAGAAGCUUGCUUCUCUGAUGUUAGCGGCGGACGGGUGAGUAACACGUGGAUAACCUACCUAUAAGACUGGGAUAACUUCGGGAAACCGGAGCUAAUACCGGAUAAUAUUUUGAACCGCAUGGUUCAAAAGUAAAAGACGGUCUUGCUGUCACUUAUAGAUGGAUCCGCGCUGCAUUAGCUAGUUGGUAAGGUAACGGCUUACCAAGGCAACGAUGCAUAGCCGACCUGAGAGGGUGAUAGGCCACACUGGAACUGAGACACGGUCCAGACUCCUACGGGAGGCAGCAGUAGGGAAUCUUCCGCAAUGGGCGAAAGCCUGACGGAGCAACGCCGCGUGAGUGAUGAAGGUCUUCGGAUCGUAAAACUCUGUUAUUAGGGAAGAACAUAUGUGUAAGUAACUGUGCACAUCUUGACGGUACCUAAUCAGAAAGCCACGGCUAACUACGUG
rnacentral:rRNA from 1 species